rnacentral:lncRNA from 1 species
CACAAAUCAAGGACAACCAACUUGUCUGGGCCCUUUUCAGAGCUAUCCUAGCAGAGCCAUUAGCCCCAACAUCCAGGCAUGAAACACAGCACCAUGAGUCAUUGGCAGCUGCUCUCCACAUCACCUUUCUGUCUGACAGGGGGAUUGUUGCCUAGAUAACACUGGCAGAGUGCAAGUGCCGUCCAAAUAACUGUCAAAGGAUAAUAAAGAUUUGCCCAGCUCUUCUAUGUGUUUCAAAACUAAAUCUACUCUCUCCAUUUACCUGACAUCUUUCUUAAAAAGCCAUACUCAAAUGGUGACACAGGACAAUAUCACACAGAAAUCAAAAGCCUUAAAGAAGACAAAAUACAUCACAGCUAUCACACUCAUGCUCAUACCACCUGAGCGAGCUACCGACUGCACGGAUGUGAUUCAACUUGGAUGAUGAUGACCUACACCUGGUUUCCACAUUCCAGUUCA